rnacentral:tRNA from 1 species
GCCGGGGUGGCGAAAUGGCAGACGCGGCGGACUUAAAAUCCUCUGUCCUUAUGGGCGUGCGGGUUCGAAUCCCGCCCCCGGCACCA